GACGAAACGCUGGCGGCGCGCCUAACACAUGCAAGUCGAACGGAGUUACUCUGAAUGAAGUUUUCGGAUGGAUUUUGGAUUAACUUAGUGGCGAACGGGUGAGUAAACGCGUGAGUAACCUGCCCUGGAGUGGGGGACAACAGUUGGGAACGACUGCUAAUACCGCAUAAGCCCACAGUGCCGCAUGGCACAGCGGGAAAAGGAUUUAUUCGCUUCAGGAUGGACUCGCGUCCAAUUAGCUAGUUGGUGAGGUAACGGCCCACCAAGGCGACGAUUGGUAGCCGGACUGAGAGGUUGAACGGCCACAUUGGGACUGAGACACGGCCCAGACUCCUACGGGAGGCAGCAGUGGGGGAUAUUGCACAAUGGGGGAAAACCCUGAUGCAGCGACGCCGCGUGGAGGAAGAAGGUUUUCGGAUUGUAAACUUCUUUUGUCAGGGACGAAGCAAGUGACGGUACCCUGACGAAUAAGCCACGGCUAACUCCGUGCCAGCCGCCGCUGUAAG
rnacentral:rRNA from 1 species